AUUGAACGCUGGCGGCAGGCUUAACACAUGCAAGUCGAGCGGAGAUGAGGUGCUUGCACCUUAUCUUAGCGGCGGACGGGUGAGUAAUGCUUAGGAAUCUGCCUAUUAGUGGGGGACAACAUUCCGAAAGGAAUGCUAAUACCGCAUACGUCCUACGGGAGAAAGCAGGGGAUCUUCGGACCUUGCGCUAAUAGAUGAGCCUAAGUCGGAUUGGCUAGUUGGUGGGGUAAAGGCCUACCAAGGCGACGAUCUGUAGCUGGUCUGAGAGGAUGAUCCGCCACACUGGGACUGAGACACGGCCCAGACUCCUACGGGAGGCAGCAGUGGGGAAUAUUGGACAAUGGGGGGAACCCUGAUCCAGCCAUGCCGCGGGUGUGAAGAAGGCCUUAUGGUUGUAAAGCACUUUAAGCGAGGAGGAGGCUACUGAGACUAAUACUCUUGGAUAGUGGACGUUACUCGCAGAAUAAGCACCGGCUAACUCUGUGCCAGCCGCCGCGGUAAGAC
rnacentral:rRNA from 1 species